CAGCCGCCGCGGGAAUACGUAGGUGGCAAGCGUUGUCCGGAAUUAUUGGGCGUAAAGGGCUCGCAGGCGGUUUCUUAAGUCUGAUGUGAAAGCCCCCGGCUCAACCGGGGAGGGUCAUUGGAAACUGGGAAACUUGAGUGCAGAAGAGGAGAGUGGAAUUCCACGUGUAGCGGUGAAAUGCGUAGAGAUGUGGAGGAACACCAGUGGCGAAGGCGGCUCUCUGGUCUGUAACCGACGCUGAGGAGCGAAAGCGUGGGGAGCAAACAGGAUUAGAUACCCCGGUAGUCCCUGUCUCUUAUAC
rnacentral:rRNA from 1 species